GACGAACGCUGGCGGCGUGCCUAACACAUGCAAGUCAACUUGACUGAAGGAGCAAUCUGACAGUAGAGUGGCGCAAGGGUGCGUAACGCGUAAGUAACUUGCCCAAGGUAAGGAAUAACGUCGAGAAAUCGGCGCUAAUACCUCAUAAUGCAGCGGAUCCGCAUGGAUAUGUUGUUAAAGGUUUACCGCCUUGGGAUAGGCUUGCGUCUGAUUAGCUAGUUGGUGUGGUAACGGCACACCAAGGCUACGAUCAGUAACUGGUCUGAGAGGAUGAUCAGUCACACUGGAACUGAGACACGGUCCAGACUCCUACGGGAGGCAGCAGUGAGGAAUAUUGGGCAAUGCUCGAAAGAGUGACCCAGCAACGCCGCGUGGAGGAUGAAGGUAUUCUAUAUCGUAAACUCCUAGUGAGAGCAGACGAAAGACAGAUUAUAAUCUUGGAUGACUGUAUGCUCAGAGGAAGCCCGGCUAACUACG
rnacentral:rRNA from 1 species